AGGAUAAACGCUGGCGGCGUGCCUAACACAUGCAAGUCGAACGCGCUUUUUUCGCAAGAGGAGAGCGAGUGGCGGACGGGUGAGUAACACAUGGGUACCUACCUUGGAGUGAGGGAUACCGGCGAGAAAUCGCCGACAAUACCGCAUACGCUUCUCUUCACCGGGAAGCAAAGUUGCGCAAGCGACGCUCUGAGAUGGGCCUGUGGCCGAUUAGCUAGUUGGUGGGGUAACGGCCUACCAAGGCGACGAUCGGUAGCUGGUCUGAGAGGACGAUCAGCCACACUGGGAUUGAGAACGGCCCAGACUCCUACGGGGGCAGGCAGUGAGGAAUUUUCCGCAAUGGACGCAAGUCUGACGGAGCAACGCCGCGUGCAGGAUGAAGGUUUUCGGAUCGUAAACUGCUUUUCUCGGGGACGAGCAAGGACGGUACCCGAGGAAGAAGCCCCGGCUAACUACGUGCCAGCAGCCGCGGUAA
rnacentral:rRNA from 1 species